rnacentral:rRNA from 1 species
CACGUAGGGCGCGAGCGUUGUCCGGAAUUAUUGGGCGUAAAGAGCUCGUAGGCGGCCUGUUGCGUCCGCUGUGAAAGCCCGGGGCUUAACCCCGGGUCGCAGUGGAUACGGGCAGGCUAGAGGUAGGUAGGGGAGAAUGGAAUUCCCGGUGUAGCGGUGAAAUGCGCAGAUAUCAGGAGGAACACCGGUGGCGAAGGCGGCUUGCUGGGCCUUACCUGACGCUGAGGAGCGAAAGCGUGGGGAGCGAACAGG